UAGAAGGAGGGAUGACUUGAUACCAAUAUCUCAGUGGCAGGACCCACUCGGGAGAGUUGGGGCGAGGCUGGCUGAGGUUCUCGAGGAGCUGAGUUUUGGGCUCAGGUGCCCGCCCGGCAGUGGAAUGAUGCUUCCCGACCUUUCAGACCUUUGAGACCUCUGCGCACUCUUAGAAAGCCCUUCAAGCCUCCCGUCGGCACCCGGCUGCCCAGGGGAACCCCAGGGACAGGAGUCAGAGAGAUCGUGGCCUGAGAGGUGAUGGAUAUCCGGAGGCACUCAAGACAGCAUCUCAAAGAUUCCACGCCACUAGCUGCUCCCAAGCAUGAAGCCACCUUCCUGGAGAGGCGGCAGGAAGCCAGCCUGGAGGAGGUUCUACUUUUUAUCUGGAGGAUGGACCGUCUUCUCAGGUGUCCUGGAUCUGCUGAAGGACAAUGAGGAGGAGGAGGAUGCGGGUCCCCAAGACAGAGCACAGCAGGUGGAACGGAGAAGCACCCAGAGGGGGGCGCAAGCCCAGCACCCUUCAGACUGGAGCACCCUGAGCUGCGGUUCCUGAUUGGACUGUCUUUGCUUUGUCAUCACCCAACUGACACCCGUUCUGGAUGCUUUUGAAUGGUUGGCUUCUUUUCCCCCCUGUCUUUUCUU